rnacentral:misc_RNA from 1 species
UCAAUCAUCAAGUCGAACUUGUCGUUGGACUCUGCCGGCGCCGCUGGCGGCGGCAGGUCUCUAAAGGGAGCGGCGGCACCGCGAGAGGCCCCCGGAUACAGCGAGCCUUCCACGGCACGUACCUGGGCGGUCGACCGGACCAGCCAAAAGUCUUCGUAUA